CCUACGGGAGGCAGCAGUGGGGGAUAUUGCACAAUGGGGGAAACCCUGAUGCAGCGACGCCGCGUGGGUGAAGAAGCGCCUCGGCGCGUAAAGCCCUGUCAGCAGGGAAGAAAAUGACGGUACCUGAAGAAGAAACCCCGGCUAACUACGUGCCAGCAGCCGCGGUAAUACGUAGGGGGCAAGCGUUAUCCGGAUUUACUGGGGGUAAAGGGGGCGCAGACGGGGAUGCAAGCCAGGAGUGAAAGCCCGGGGCCCAACCCCGGGACUGCUCUUGGAACUGCGUGGCUAGAGUGCAGGAGGGGCAGGCGGAAUUCGUGGUGUAGCGGUGAAAUGCGUAGAUAUCAGGAGGAACACCGGUGGCGAAGGCGGCCUGCUGGACUGCAACUGACGUUGAGGCCCGAAAGCGUGGGGAGCAAACAGGAUUAGAUACCCGGGUAGUC
rnacentral:rRNA from 1 species